CUCACAUUUCCUCCAUGCAUCCCUGGUGGGCGGGACUAAGACGCAAGGAAACGACGCAAGUGAGGGAAUCGAGGAGGCAAUUUAAGAGACUUGGCAUGUACCCAAAGUCUCCCUCUGUGCUCCAGUGUUGUGAUGUUGAAGCCCAGCGUUGGGGAGAUGGUGCUGACGUCUUCUCCAUUAACCUUCUUCAGGAUGGUCGUCUUCCCCGCGUGGUCCAGACCUCUGCACGAACCAGAUGACGACGGGACAUUCUGAAGCCACUUGCUGCAAAGGUGUGAGCAGAAAAUGUCUGAACCCUCUGCAUGAGAUGUUCAUGGCCGAUCAGAGAUGACGAGCAAGAAUGAAGGACGUUGGCAGGUUCUGCUCUGUCCACUCACUAAACGCUACAAAGUGGCUGUAAAGUACACAGAUGUGGGAGAUCUACCAGACGUUUGAGGAAAGAUGUCACCUGGAAGUCAUGCAAGUCUCAAAUGAAGCCUUGAUGGGAUUCAUGAAGAGCAUUGCAGACUCACGGUGAUUCAUUGACUACUUCGGCCUGAUUGAGGUGUUCUACUCAAAGGUGCCUGGCUUUGGAAGAUGCUGCCCUCUGAGAACAAAUGUCUUCAUCCGGGUCUGAGCUGCCUGUCCCGUUAUCCAUCGACAUACAAAUGGCCAAGGUUUGGUUUCCCAGUCUGCAGUGUGAGGAACAAAAGACCAGGACUGUUGCAGGUUUCUUGAUGCUGUUUACUGUUCCCCACAUUGAAGAGUUGGAGACGCCUUAGACUGCAGCAGAGUCCAGCUGGAUCUGCUGCCUACUGCUUUGGGCUAUAUGACCGGACUAGAACUUGGCUUCAGUCAUAAAGAGGAGUUGUCUUAUGCUGCCGACUAAAUUGCUGCAGGAAGAUGGCUACAAGCUCAAGGACUACUUCAGAAGACAUGCUGCUUAUUGUAUCAGCAACUGAAUAGAUAACUUCUGUGUUCAUCUAAUUAUGACUAGUUUGUAUUGACCUUUCAACCCGUUUCCUGACUUGGAUGUUUAUUUCAUAAUAAAUUGUUCAUAAAUUCAA